UUUGUGCCUCACUUUUCAGAGCCGUGUCGUUCUUUUCUCUGGAGUCAGGAAGCCCCUCCAUAAUUUUUUUUUUCCCCACUGACCAAGGUCCAGAACAGGGAGUGUGGACACAGGAAUCAAGGAAUGUUCUGCAGUGUGCUGUCUUCUAACUUCCUGAUAUAGAUGUCCAGCAUGCCUUGCUGAUUGAUGAUGUUCAUGGAGAUGAAACCAUCCUUUCAGGACCAUGGUGUGCCUGAAACGACACCGCAUUCUGACGGAUCAGCUGGCGCCACCCAGACCAGAAAUCUGACUCAACUAGUUCAGGAACUGAAGACAGCAAGAACUACCCCUUGACUCCAGGUGUAGAGAUGCAGCGUGUCUCCCAAAACCCAAGUUCCUGAAUAUAGGUG
rnacentral:lncRNA from 1 species